AUGGCGGCGACAGGGAGCGCUCAGAGCCGACGGUUCGCCGCGGCGUGCGGCGUUCUCAGCCGCUGCGUCAAGGCGGCGGAGGCGCGGCCGGUGGUCCUCCCCCUCAUGCCCGGAGCGGAAGUGCCCGCGCAAGACGAGCGCGCGGCCGGUCCUGCGCCGGAGCACUCGCAGAUGACCAUCUUCUACGGCGGGCAGGUGCUGGUGCUGGACGAGGUGCCGGCCGACAGGGCCGCCGAGCUGCUCCGUGUCGCUGCUGUCUCAGGCACACCGCGAGGGAGCUGCGAGGCGGCGGACGGCGACCUGCCCAUGGCGAGGAAGGCGUCGCUGCAGCGGUUCAUGCAGAAGCGCAAGGGAAGGCUCGCCGCGCGCGCCGUCCCCUACAGCCGCCCCGACGGCGGCGCCGUCCCCUACCAUCUCACACUUACGCUCUGA
rnacentral:rRNA from 1 species